AAGGAGCAGUGGAAAUCAGUUGGCUGAGACACCUAUCUCCCAUCAGAGCGAUGGGAGACCUGAGACCCCUGGCAGGGGCAUCUUAAUCCAGGGCACAAUUCUUUGGGGUGUCACUGAAUUGCUUGCUUACAUCCUUUCUCAAGCACCUUCUCAGGUCUCAAGGUGACCUGUUCAUUCUCUAUGUCUUGUCACGAUGCAAGUUCACUUGUGUUCAUCCACCAACAGGGGCCUCCAAGGAGCCACCACCCACUCCACCCAGCCUCACAAAGAGACAAGUGAAGCAGAAGGUGAAGAGCCUGACCACUCAGCUCCAGGUGAUGACCACCCAACGCAAUGAUCUGAGAGAUCGCCUCAUCUUAGUAACCGAAGGAUCCUUGGACAACAGACCCUACCACAGGCUAAAUCCUUUCUGGGAAAACAUCAAGAUGGAACAUCAGCAGGUCAUGUCAGACCUGCAGAAUUUCGAGAAUGAGAAUUUGGAGGCCUCACAGAAGUUAUGUGAGCUGACCAAGGACAAAGUCUUCCUUUGCAGGCUUUCCUUGAACUCACAGAGCUCUGACUGCUUAUGCCUCCCAAGUGAUGGGAUUUAAAGGUAUGUCUCACCAUAUCUGAAAUUACAUAUUUAUUCAGGAAUAUCACCUGUACGGAUGAGAUUCACAGCCUUGUCACUAUUUGAUAUAACAAUGGCCCUCUUCAUUGUCUGAGCAUUUCCCAUGUUAAGUGUACUGGGGUAUAAUAAGUUUAGUCAUUGGCAGGAUGAAGUCAGGCAGAUGUCUCUGCUGAAAAUUGUUCAGAACCUUCACAGAAUGUUGUGGAACAGACUUCUCAGGAGUACCAGGAUGUAGAUUCCAGGCUGUAGGCCUAAGGAUAACACAGCUGUUUUUGUUUAUUCCCAGAAUUCAUACAGUGGCAAUGUUCUCAGACACAUGAAACAAGAAAUGUUGCUCUAGCAUGACCGGCUCCAUUUUGCAGGAGAGAGAGCUGAUUUUUCCACAUGACCUUAGUCAGCUGUCUAGUUUGCAAAGCUGUAUUAAGUCUAUGUAUAAAAAUGAGUUGGUCAAUGAAAAACUCAUCAUGAACAGUCUGUGUAUCUCCUCUAUGUCGUUAUGUAUGACUUUAAUAUGCUAUUCCUUUUGUUUAAAUGAUGUCCCUAGACUGUAGGAAAAAAGCCCUGUUCUUUCUCAUAGAGCACAGAACAUACAUUACUCAUAUAAACACCUGAUACUUAUGGGCAGAAAAGAAUUCAAGGCCCAGCUAUUCUGUGACACUUAUCUCUUAGGGAUACAAACAAUGACUGCUGCCAAAGUUCAAUGUUGACUGUCCAGCACAACUGAGGUUUUGUGAUGUCAGAGAUUGGCAGGACACAUGGCAGACCCCACCAGGACUCUGCCCUAACUGCCUUCCUCAUCCAGGUCAGAAAAACUCCUACAUGAGCUGGAACGGUCCACAGCUUAGGAUGAGAGCCUCCUGCCAACAGAGCUGCUGCAGCAGGAGCACUAAGUGUCAUAAGCAAGUGAGCCACCAUGACAUCCCUUCUCCAGCAACAUGGCAUUUGUAGGGUUGAUGUUCCUUCUUGAUUCUGCUUUCCUAUGUGUGAAUAGGUCCUCAAUUAGUCUAGCCAGUGACCAAGCAAAGCUGUUUUAGAUCUCAUUGCCUUUUCUUCUCUCACAGCAUCCUUUACAAGAACAUAGUUUAAGAUCAACAUUGGCAAGGGCUUAACCUAAAGGCCCCAAAGUGGCACGACUACACUUGUCUUGAAGAGACCAUAAUGCCAAUUAUGGUUGUCUUCCAACUUGUAUCCAAAUCCAACCACAGGGUAUAGGAUAGUGCCACUAAAUCUGCAAGAAGAGAAUGCUUCUCAGUGUAAAUAGAUUUGGUUUGCUGUUGUGUUUGUUUCCAUUCAGGUUUUGAUUUUCUUUGUUUUGUUUGGUGUUUGAUACUUUUUGGUUCUUUUGUUCUUUCUUUGAUUUUAUAUUUUGCUAAGGCUAUACACUGGAUAUACUAAAUGCCCUUUUAAAGCCCCUAUUGAGUCGAAUUUCUGUAAUUUCAUAAAUAAAAAAGCAAUUUCCAACUCUUCAGUCUUAUAGUAGCUUUAGUAGUCAGAUGUGGUAUUACACUCCUGUAACCUUAGAACUCAACAGGCAGAGAUGGAUCUCUGCAAGUUCCAGGAGGCUUAGGCUAGUGGGUUCCCAGCCAGGCAGGGUUGGAAAAAGGGAUGGUGUCUUGGCUGUGAAUCACAUGGCCUACAACAAGAAUAUCCACUUCAUGAUGGAAAAAGAUCCAUACUCAACAUACGACUUCACAUGAUUAGCUAUUCAAAAAAAAAAAACGGAGACUAGAUACACACAUGUUCAUGACAUGAUCAUUCAUAUCAGAAUUUUUUGAAAAAUACCUGUGUUUAUAUGAGUAUAAAAAAUGGGGAAAUCCAUAGUUAUCUGCCUUUUAGAGGCAGUGCAUUAGGAGAGAGACUGUCCCCUUCCUGGCAGCUCUGAGUGCCCUGAGCUGUCAGUGAGGAAGGGGUGGUGAAUCUGAUGACUAAGUUUUGUCCUGCAUGACUUUUCCAUCAAUGUGAGGGUCUGAAGCAUCCAGAAAGUACUUGGGCAAACCCCACACCACCUGUGUGCCUGUGGAUAGUACCAGUUUUCCUCUGGCUCUGACAAAAGAGGACUGAAGACUCCGAAGACAAGUCACAUCAUGGACAACAGUGAAUAAUCCCAAUGAGGUUGUCUUGUGGGUCACCUUGUGCAGGGAGGCAGAGGAAAUCAGCUGACCUCUGAGACACCCACUACCUAUAGAGAAUUGGUAGAACUGAUAGCCACUGUAGCUGAAGUUUUCCUGUGUUCCAGCCUACAGUCAGUCGGGAGAAAUCUCUCCCAGGGACAAAUCUCUCCCACUCGCGUCCCCCAAGUAAACGUAAAAAGACUUAUAUUACUUAUAAACUGUAUGGUUGUGGCAGGUUUUUUGCUAUCUGUUCUUAUAUCUUAAAUUAACCCAUUUCUAUAAAUCUAUACCUUGCCACGUGGCUGGUGACUUACCGGUAUCUUAACAUCUGCUUCUCAUCCUGGCAUCUGGCAGCAUCUCUCUGCCUCAGCCUUCCACUUCCGAGAAUUCUACUCUCUGCUUGUCUUGCCUAUCACACUUCCUGCCUGGCUACUGGCCAAUCAGCAUUUUAUUUAUCAAUCAAUCAUAGCAAUACAUUCACAGUAUAGAGAACAUCCCACAGCAAGCCACAGAGGGCCACUUAUCUGGGCCUUCAGAUCCUGCUAGGGUAGUCUCUCAUCUGCCAGUCACUUUCUGAACAUUCUUCUUAUUGAUCAGAGACCAUAAGGAAGGGAAGAGCCAUUCCCGGGGCUGUUUUUGAAAAGUAAGUCUUCAACUCCCUACAGAUAAGUAAUGAAAAGAUUCUAAUGAGGCAGAGAGAGAUCUCUGGCUUUGUAAGGAAGAGGUACUGAAUGGCGUCCCCUGUGUCUCUGAGAAUAAUCCUGGAAAGGACAACUCCUGGCUAAUUGGGGAAGGGCUCAGUAGCACAUAGGUGAGGGCUGUGGCAGUGACCCUAACAGUCACUUCCCUGAACAUUCUAUUGUAUCCUGGAGAGCCCUGAGUGUCCUCUUGAUGCCACCACUGUUGACGCAACACCAACUGCCAUUUAGGGCAUUUGUACAGUGCCUCUGGGAAUCACAAAGACAUGUUGGUGAGACUGAGAGAGCUACUUGGGAGAGAAUGGACAGUCUAGAGAAGAGAGAGAAGCAGAAGGAAGCUAUUCAUCUGUCUCAGGUAAACAUCAAGAAAUAAAUAUUCCAGGGGAAGGUGCAGUCAGUUUUGUGCAGGGAAUGAGGAGCUCCCUGGAGGAGGUAGGCCUUGAGCUUGGCCUUUCAAGAAUGGGACUCAGCAGCUGGGAGACUCUGGGAAACAAUGGUCCUAUCCUGCUUCUCUGGGUUCCUAAAUAGCAGACACAGAGAAGGAUUUCUGAGGGUUUGUUUGGCAGAGAUCCAGGAAUUAUCAAGUCUGCAGCUACUAUGCUGGGGGAAUUCCUUAAUUUCACUCCAAGGGGAAACAGGGCAUCAAGAGGCACAGGAUGAUAGAUGAGGGAUCCCUGUCAGGAUACGGUGUUACUGAACUUUACCCUCAGCAAUUUCUUUUAUGUUCCAUGGAUAUCUGAUGCUAUUGACAGGCAGAUUAAGUCCCCUGGCAUUCACCAAGGUCCCAGCCAUUCAGUUGCUCUUGGUCCUAGACACAGGUGGUCAGGGCUUGGUGCUGCUAAGCACUACGAACUCCAGGACUUAACGUACAUCAUAUCAGAUAUGAGCUGGCGUUGUCCUCCGAACCAGAAUUGCUGGACUAGCUUAUGACUUCCAGAGCCCAUGGGAUUGCAGUGGGUAUGGAGGCACAUAUCUAGACAUUGUGGUGGGGGACAGAGGUAUGGCUUAUGUGACCCAGCUUGAGGAUAGCUGCCCUGUUCCUUCUGGGCUCCACAGACUCCAAACAUUUCCUCUUCCUCAGGCCUCUACUUGGGAGUUAGUGUAAGUAUUACAGCUUUAGGGGAAAUGGCUUCCCCAACAGAAGUGUUACAGCUCUGCCCCAGCAGGCAAGGUUUCCCCAGUGCAAAUUUAACAGCUCUGCUCUGGUAGGGGAAAUUUUCCCAAUGCAAGUGUUACAGCUCUAUUCUGAAAGGUAUCCUGGAAAUCAGGAGACAAGAAAUACCACAAAGUCACACCACACAACAUGCCUCACACAAUAUAUUUAUUGGGAGAGAAAACCCCAAGAGGGUGGCUCCUCUGCUUGGGUGAGAAGCCACAGGGAAUUGAGCAGAAGGCAGGCUAUAUAUGGAGUUUCUUGAGAGUGGGGAACUUUCCAGUUUGGCCUGGCGUUGGUGGGACUUUUGUGGACUGAUCUUGGGGCAAGCUUAGAGAUUGGUAGGAUUGUUUUUCCUGACCCUGGUCAUGGCCUUGGGAACAAGUCUGAGUCAAAAUGUUCUUUCCUUGCACUGGUCUUAAGGCUUUCAUGGUUAAGUUCUUUCCAUGACCCUUUUACUCUACACUUAGCAUUAACUCUCCUGGCCCUAUGCCAUUUAACUAUAUAAUUACCCUUGUGUUUUUUCUACCUCCAGGGACUACUGGAAAGGCAUCAUCCCAACUCUCCCCUCACUUAGGAGGGCCUGGGGUUGAACAAGGUGGAAAAACUGACCAUUCAGCUACAGAUGAUGACCUGUUAGAGGGAUGAACUACUUGGAAUCCUGGACCAUAAUACAAACAAUGAUUUGAAAAACAGGUAGUUGUUAUGCCUAAUUCUCUGUUGACUGUCUUGAAACCACUGUGUCAAGCCCAGGAUUCCUCAGAAAAAGGAUGAACUCCAUGGUGUCCUCAUGCCCAAACUAAUUUUCCCAAGUGCAUCUGAAAGGCAGAACUUGAUGCCCGGGUAGGGGUGAGAUGGGGACACAGGCUGUUCUGCUUCAUUCCAAUGAAAAGCAGAGCCUGUGGCCUGUAUCACACUCUGGGUAUAGGAACAAUAGUGUGUGGUUGCUCAUCAUGCAUUUCAAGAUGUCUUGACAGGUGUUGGCUUGUGGGAAAUACAGGGUGCUAUUAGUUUGUGGUGAGACUUUGUACUUGACUAGCAGGUGAUUUGAAAACAAGGUGUACUUGACAACAUGUCUAUAGGCAAACUGUAUAGGCAUUGAAUGAACAUCCUAAAGGCACUUGGUGUUGCUACAACACUAUUGACAUCACAGGGGAUUCCAAGAGCUCUGCUCUUCAGGAUACAAUAGAAUUGCCAGAGAAGGGACUCCUGACGUCCCACGGAAAAGCCUUUGCCUCCUGGCUAAUAAAUUCUCCCUGAACUGAAAAGAAGCUGAGAUUUCUUUUCCAGGAGUCUCUCCUGUGACACAGGUGAAGCCAUUCAGUAACUCUUCCUUCUAAAGCUGGGAAUUUGUCUCUGCUUCCUUAGAAUUUUUUCACUAUUUUACCCAUGGAGAGUUGAACACUCACUUUAUAAGCACUACCCAAGAAUGGACCUUCCUCUUCUUAACAUCCAUACUCAAUAAUAUGAGAAAUAAAGCAUGCCAAGGAAUUAGAUCAUGAUGAUGUGGAGGAGGAGGGUUGAGUUGUAUGAAGUGAGCAAGCACCUGAGGAAUGCUAAGGUUAAGGGACGGUGACUAUUGAGAAUUUGUAAGUGAGCUGAGACUGUUAUGAGGCCCAAGCUCUUCUAGAAUGUCCACUCUACGUGCAUGGCGUAUUUUCAGGCCUCUAGAGUAACAUAAGUUAUAAAAAUGAAUCUUUAUAUUAAAAGGGGAUUUGUUAGAAUGGCUUACAGCCUGUGAGCUAGCUAAUCCAACAAUGACUGGAAAUGAAUGGGAAGUUCAAGAAUCCAGUAGUUUCUCAGUCCUAAACACUGGAUGUCUCAGCUGUCUCUGAUAUUAUGCUGUAACCUUAAAGUAGUAGGCUCUAAUGUCAGUGAAGGAAUGGAUGCCGCCAACAAGGUGAGAGCAAGCAGAGAAAGAGUAAAAGCUUCCUUCUUCCAUGUCCUCCUAUAGGCUUCCAGCAGAAUGAAUGGUUCAGAUUACACCUGGAUUAAAGAUCUGAAUUGAAGGUGUGACUUCAUUCCUCAAAGUUUCACAAUAAAGUAGUUCUUCCUACAUUAAAUUAAGCAGAAAUAGACCACAGGUGUUCCCUCUAUUUUUGGGUUAUAUUACUCCCAGAUGGCAUCAUGUUGACAUCUAAAAAUAGACAUCAAAGUCUUAAUUCUAUCUACUAAUAUUCUUUAGCAAAUGGCUCCACCAGAGAUUGAAAGGAAGGAGUGGCAAUAAUCAACAGGUACAUGGGAAUCAGCUGUAGAUGUCAUGGUCAUGGUGACUUUCAGUGGCUGCUUUAUGGCUAUGCAUGGCUGAAAUAGGAUGAAAUACCAGUCUGUGGUUUCUUGAGUAAGAGGGGAGAAGCUGGAAACCCAGUACUUUAAGAAUCUGGUCUUUCUUUAUAACUGAAGAUUUGGAAUUCAAAUAAUUAUGUUUUGUUUGAUAGUAACUGUGGUUAAAAACAAGUGCCCAUAGGUAAAACCUGGGUGCUCUUUAAGUAAAAAGAAGAAAGGCCUGAAAUAACAGCACAUUGGACCUGUAAUAAAGAGGAUGGUGUUUCGGGUCAUGUGAAUUUUGACUUGAACUCCUCCAGACCAUGUAUUGCAUACUCUAUACAUCCUGUGAUGCGGGGGUUUGGGGGGGACCUCCUUCCUAAAAGAGGAAGGACUGGGAUGACUACUGUGUGGUCUUCAUUGUCAUCAACAGCUAGAUGCCUCCUAUUGCUUUCAAAGCAAAAAGGAUACAUUUAGAUUUGAAAUUUCUCUAGGGUCAUACAAGUGGGAUUUCAGACAACAGCACCAAUAUACAAAUUCUGUUCAUGAGAUGACACCUGUAGUGGGUAACUGUUCCAGCUUUGAUCUGCAAGUACCACCCUCACUGAGGCUUCGGCAACUGUCACACCUGCAAGGCAGAGCUGAGAGAGGACCCCUGAAGACCCAAGAUCCAGAUGGGCUGGCUCUCUUGGAUCCUGGACGCUGAACGCUGGAGGUAGACCAAGCAGAGUUCUCCUGAGAACACCGUGGACUGCACUACACCUUUCCCAGACUGUGUAACCUAUCCCUUCACUUGUAAAUUACCCCACAAAAUAAACCUCCCUUUUAACUAUG